GUGGGGAAUAUUGGACAAUGGGCGAAAGCCUGAUCCAGCCAUGCCGCGUGUGUGAAGAAGGUCUUCGGAUUGUAAAGCACUUUAAGUUGGGAGGAAGGGCAGUAAGUUAAUACCUUGCUGUUUUGACGUUACCAACAGAAUAAGCACCGGCUAACUUCGUGCCAGCAGCCGCGGUAAUACGAAGGGUGCAAGCGUUAAUCGGAAUUACUGCGCGUAAAGCUCGCGUAGGUGGUUCAGUAAGUUGGAGGUGAAAUCCCCGGGCUCAACCUGGGAACUGCCACAAAAACUACUGGGCUAGAGUACGGUAGAGGGUAGUGGAAUUUCCUGUGUAGCGGUGAAAUGCGUAGAUAUAGGAAGGAACACCAGUGGCGAAGGCGACUACCUGGACUGAUACUGACACUGAGGUGCGAAAGCGUGGGGAGCAAACAGGAUUAGAUACCCGAGUAGUCC
rnacentral:rRNA from 1 species